UGCCCAGACUCCUACGGGAGGCAGCAGUGAGGAAUAUUGGUCAAUGGGCGCGAGCCUGAACCAGCCAAGUAGCGUGAAGGAUGACUGCCCUACGGGUUGUAAACUUCUUUUAUAAAGGAAUAAAGUGAGGCACGUGUGCCUUUUUGUAUGUACUUUAUGAAUAAGGAUCGGCUAACUCCGUGCCAGCAGCCGCGGUAAUACGGAGGAUGCGAGCGUUAUCCGGAUUUAUUGGGUUUAAAGGGUGCGUAGGCGGGAUGCCAAGUCAGCGGUAAAAAUGCGGUGCUCAACGCCGUCGAGCCGUUGAAACUGGCGUUCUUGAGUGGGCGAGAAGUAUGCGGAAUGCGUGGUGUAGCGGUGAAAUGCAUAGAUAUCACGCAGAACUCCGAUUGCGAAGGCAGCAUACCGGCGCCCUACUGACGCUGAGGCACGAAAGCGUGGGUAUCGAACAGGAUUAGAUACCCGUGUAA
rnacentral:rRNA from 1 species